UCCCGACUGGUGUAGUGGUUAGCAUUUCCGCUUUUCAAGAAGCCUUCUGGCUAUGAAAUAACAACGCGGGAGACCGGGGUUCAAUUCCCCGGUCGGGAA